UACGGAGGGAGCUAGCGUUGUUCGGAAUUACUGGGCGUAAAGCGCACGUAGGCGGCUUUGUAAGUUAGAGGUGAAAGCCUGGGGCUCAACUCCAGAACUGCCUUUAAAACUGCAUCGCUUGAAUCCAGGAGAGGUGAGUGGAAUUCCGAGUGUAGAGGUGAAAUUCGUAGAUAUUCGGAAGAACACCAGUGGCGAAGGCGGCUCACUGGACUGGUAUUGACGCUGAGGUGCGAAAGCGUGGGGAGCAAACAGG
rnacentral:rRNA from 1 species